UACAGUCAUAUCACAUUGAAACACCAGUUCCUGUAUGAUCACUGAAGUUAAGCAACAUCGAUCCUGGUCAGUACCUAGAUGGGUGACUGUUUGGGAAUGCCAGGUGUUAUA